AAGGCUUCAAGUAGAAGAUGAACUGAGCUAAGAUGUGAAGAAAACAGGAUUCUAAGACAUAAAGAAACCGAAGAUUUAUUUCUGGAUUCAGGAAUCCUAACCAGGCCUAAACUUUUAGGCUGAUACCCAUAUCUUCUGUCAAGUUUGACAAAGAAAGAUGCUCUCAACUGCUGACAGCUCUAAUAGCUAACAUGAAAACAUUCAGAACUCUUCGAAUCAAACCAUCCGCAUAUGAGGGGGUAAGAAAGUUCAACACAACACAUCUGCAAACAUAAUAUACCCAAGGAGCUUGGCAUCAGUGGACAAUUGCAGAACAUCAAGCUAUCUGUCACCCAGAACACCACGAAUUAUGAACUGUUCUUAAAGGUUCCUACCCUCCAAGAAUGUCCAGCAAUCUCCUUCCCCUCCAGCUGGUCUACAGGAAAAGUUAACAGCAGAACUCUCUAGCCUCAUCAGCUUCUUCAGUUCCCUGAAGUAGUCAACACCACAGUCAGGGGGCAGUCAUUGGCCCUUGUAAAUGAAGGGGAAUGUUAUUUUGGCAGUAUGCUGACAUAUCUUCUCAGCACCUCAACACUUCCAUAAGCCAACUAGAACCUUGCAUGCAGGCCAAAAUAGACAGACUAUAUCUGAUUUUAAAGAUGAAAAAUGCACACUGGCUUUUGACCUUUAAGUACUGGUGUCUCUGCUUAGCAAAUUAGAGGUGUCCUAUACAAAGCAAACAACAGCACCGAAGAAAAGUACAGGACCAACUGUAGUAUGGGGGCAAUUUUGCAUCUUCUUCAAUCUUUCUGAAAUGUGAUUUAGCUUGACCUUUAAAUCUAGUGGAUCAACCAAUCAAUUUUCCUGAAAUAACUUUGCACGUGACAUUAGAGCAUGCCCUGUAUAAGAAGGAACCAGGCAUAGCAGCAUGGCCUAACCACUUCAUUGUGCUAGAAAAGUUACUAAGAUUUAUCUCAAUUGAUUUUACUGGCAAGAAAAACACAAUGUGAAAACUGCAACAUCAGCAGACACUAAAGGUCUUAGUUCCUUGCAGGAUGAACUUGAUAUCAAUAGUUAUUAGGACACAUUCAUACAAGGCACACAAGAGAGAUGGAGAGAAGAUGCAAGUAAUCUUACUUAAUCCUGAAGCGGCCAAAAGCCAGGCUCUUCAGACUGUGGGAAAAAUCAAGGAAAACUUUCAAUAUUCCUGGGCUAUUGCUAGGCAAGAAUCUGGGGGAGGAAAUGUUCGUAUUUACAACUAGGAUAAAAACAAUAGCACAGCACAAAGAACCUAGACUGAAAAUUGAGAAAACGGGGUUCUAUCCCUGGCUAUGCCAUUAACUCAUUAUAUGACCUUAAGCAUGACACUAUCCCUCUUCUUGGCUCAGUUUUCUGAUCUGUAAAAUGAAGACAUGAGGCUAAAUGGUUGCCCAGGCGUCUUCCAGUGUGAUUGUGACAGAUCUGUAGUGAUUCCAAAGCCAAAGCUUCAAUUCCUCCUCUUCUCAACACAACAAGCAAAUAAAUCAAUGUGAGGAUCCUACAGAGAUGCUGGGGUAUUUGGUUGGCCAGAGAGGGAAAUAAAAGCAAGAAUUAGGAAGGCCUGAGAAAGAAACAAAACUGUUUUUCCCUCUGCAGCUGCAAAGCUAAACCAUAAUUCCAAACACACACCAACUGUUGACAUAAAUGAGGAUCCCUAAGGCCCACAGACACCACCCAACAUAACAUAAUAUCCCAAUGAAAGCAGACACUUUGCCAAAAAAGGAUGGCUAAAAUCCAGAGAGAAAGAAAACAGUCAAGUUUCUUCAAAAGAGUUCAAAACUGGGAGUUUAAGAAAAAACACAUUUUUGUUUUUAGUUUUUUUAAUGAAAUUAAAACAAGUUAUUCUGCCUUUAAAAAUAAAAAAGACUCAGAAUCACAGAAUCUAAAAGUUGGAAAGGACUUCAGGACAUACCCAACAAGUUGUUUUUUGCACCAGUGAGGGGAGGGGCCCCAUUACCUCUUUGGGCCAUUCCACCUUUGGAUAUCUCUAAUUAUUAGGAAUUUUUUCCAGACAUCAAGCCUAACCUGGCCUCUUUGCAACUUCUACCCAUUGUUUGCUCCCAGUGCUGUCUUAUGGACUAAGCAAAACAAAUCUAAUCCCUUUUCUCACAGGACAACCUUUCAAGUACUUCAAGGCAGUUAAGCAUUCCCAACCCAGACCUUCUCCCCAAGUCUUCUCUUCCCUAGGCAAAAUAGCCUCAGUUCCUUCAACAAUUCUCUCUUGUGGCAUGAUCUUGAGGAUCUAUGACAACCUUUGACCUCCAGUUUAUCAAUGUCCUUUCUAAAAGGAGAUGCCCAUAACUGAACACACUAUUACCAAUGUGACUUGAAGAAGGCAGAGCACAAUGGCACUAACACCUCACCAAUGUUGUACACAAUACCCCAUUUAAUUGCAACCUAAGAUCACAUUAGCUUCUUUGCCUGCCAUGUUUCACCCAUAUUAUACCUGCAGUCCAAUAAAAUCAUUUGAAAAAGG